AUGCGAGUUGAGCGUCUCUAGCUAUGUUGAGACGCAGCAGACGGCUCAGUAACACGUGGCUAACCUGCCCUCAGGACGAGUAUAAUCCCGGGAAACUGGGGCUAAUACUCGAUAGGUGAGGAUAUCUGGAAUGAUUUCUCACUCAAAGGGUUUAGAAACAUGCUUCUAAUAUCGCCUGGGGAUGGGGCCGCGUCCGAUCAGGUUGUUGGUGAGGUAACGGCUCACCAAGCCUAUAACCGGUACGGGCCGUGAGAGCGGUAGCCCGGAGAUGGGUACUGAGACAAGGACCCAGGCCCUACGGGGCGCAGCAGUCGCGAAAACUCCGCAAUGCACGAAAGUGUGACGGGGCUACCCCGAGUGCUUCCCGCUGAGGGAAGCUUUUCUUUGGUAUAAUUAGCCAUUGGAAUAAGGAGAGGGCAAGACUGGUGUCAGCCGCCGCGGUAAUACCAGCUCUCCGAGUGGUAGGGAUGAUUAUUGGGCUUAAAGCGUCCGUAGCCGGCUUAGCAAGUCUCCUGUUAAACUCAGCGACUUAAUCGUUGAAUCGCGGGAGAUACUACUAGGCUAGGAGGCGGGAGAGGUCGACGGUACUUCUGGGGUAGGGGUGAAAUCCUAUAAUCCCGGGAGGACCACCAGUGGCGAAGGCUGUCGACUAGAACGCGCUCGACGGUGAGGGACGAAAGCUGGGGGAGCGAACCGGAUUAGAUACCCGGGUAGUCCCAGCUGUAAACGAUGCGGGCUAGGUGUUGGGAUGGCUAC
rnacentral:rRNA from 1 species